UCUCCAAGUCAAACGGCUCAGGCUGGGUCACGUCCUUUACCUUCUUCUCUGGCAGGUUAAUGCUAUCAAAAUGAGGCCACUUCCAAUGGACUCCAGCUGGACACCACUGAAGUCCUUUCCCAAGAAAAGGCAGAUGCCGUAACAUUCGGACAAUGCACUAUGAGUGAUACUGUAAAUCCUAAGGAGUUGAAUUGCUGGGUGCGAGGCUUUUGACAACUAACUGAAAAUGUUCCUCAGAAGAAUGACAGCCACUGACAUCACCAGAGGAGCAUGCCAGUUCCCCAGCCCCAGCUCUGCGCACUGACAGCCUCAGGCUUCUCCUCUCUGCGCUGCACCACUACACUCUUGAAUGAGGCAUGAGACCAGUUACACCUGCCCACACCAUGCUCAGCCGGAGGCUGGCUUCUCUCAGUGACCGCGAAUGCACGAGCCAGGGGUGGCGCAUGCCUGUAAUCA